rnacentral:rRNA from 1 species
UACGAAGGGGGCUAGCGUUGUUCGGAAUCACUGGGCGUAAAGCGCACGUAGGCGGAUGUGCCAGUCAGGGGUGAAAUCCCGGAGCUCAACUUCGGAACUGCCUCUGAUACAGCACGUCUUGAGUCCGGAAGAGGUGGGUGGAAUUCCUAGUGUAGAGGUGAAAUUCGUAGAUAUUAGGAAGAACACCGGUGGCGAAGGCGGCCCACUGGUCCGAUACUGACGCUGAGGUGCGAAAGCGUGGGGAGCAAACAGG